rnacentral:lncRNA from 10 species
UUAAGGAGGUGAAGGGAAAAGAAAAUCCUGUUCUAUUCGCCUAUUAAAUAAAGGAAGAAAUGGGAGCCGGGAGAUUAGGGAACUGAUCAAGAAGUACUGCAGAAAGAAGACAUCCAUGCGGUCCUUUGCUGUCCUCUCUCCUACACUGCAGCGGUGGCCAUUUUUGCUUCGCUGGGCUCCACGGAUCUGGAGGAGCAACAGAUCUGCACAUCUGAAUUCUGUGUGCUUCUUGAGGAUAGGAGAAACUUCCAAGACCUCCAUGUCACUCACCAGAAGAUACUACUGAUGGUAAUAAUAAGACUGACAGUAGACGUUUUGUAAGUGCUACAACUAGUAAGUAUCAUUCACUGAGCAUGUACCAUAAGCCAAGCUAUACUGAAGAACUGAAGACUUCAUGUGUGUGCCUUAUCUUAUUUAAUCCUCGCAAUGACUCU